CAACUUUCACUUUCUUUCUUCCCACAUACGGUUGCUAUUUAUACUCACAAAGAGUCGGCCAAGAUAAAGAACAAUAUAGCCCAAGAGAAAACCACACGGAUUAUUUGAAAGAAAGAGGUUGAGAAUCAAGAUUUCAAAAAGAGAUGGAGAGUUCUUCAUAGUGGAGGCGUGGAAGGAGCCGUAAGUUAUAGACUAGUGAGUGGCCAAAAAUGGUAGGUUAGGUUAACUUAGUGGUCCAAACAAGGCUCAACACAAAAAUAAUGAGCUCUAAAUGAAUACCAUAGCCCUCAAAGUAAAUGGGACGAACCACGAGCAAUACUAUUAAAAUAGGUUGCUUCUAACGGUCCAUAGAAAAUUGGGUUGGGUUGUCUCGAUGAUAGUGUCGAUAUAUAAUUAAAUCAUAUGGCUAAAGCCGACUGAUAAUAAAUAAAAUCGAGAUUACAUCAUUGCUCGGGAGGUCGUUUGACAACAAAUUGCCUAACAUUCACCCAUCUUUAGCCAAGGGUACCCUAGAAUUUAGCAAAUUUAGACAUGAAAACAUGACUUAAUGAUAUUGCAAACCGUUCCUAGAAAAUUUAAUGAAGUUAAUUGCACAGUAAAACCUAAGUAAAACUACCCUUUCUUUGAAGUCGAAGGCUAUUCAUAGACUCUUUGUGUGGGUUCGUAUACUGGACAUCGUGCUUUUUGUUCAUUACAUUACACAAAAGAAAAAAGAGUUUCCU
rnacentral:lncRNA from 1 species